rnacentral:lncRNA from 1 species
UGGGGACCAUGUGUGAUUUUCUUGUUUGUUCAAAUAGCUGUACUUUUAUGGAAGCGUUCUACUUUUGGAAGAAGGGCAAACCAUGGUUCCGUGCUCUUAUCAGGAAGUGGAGACCUGGGGAUGUUUGAGGAAGGAGGAUGGGGAGAAUUUUUGGUCUGUGAACUGGGUGCUGAGAGAUUAAAGACAGCUGGUGCACACCCCAGCAGCAGAGAAGGAGCGCGUUUCUGGGGUGACGGCUCUCUGCUCCUGAAAGUGAGGGACCCUGUCCGCCUCCUCAGGAUUCCAGGCUGCUGCUCCAGUGGUUACAAAGCACCGUGCAGCAUUGAGGAAGGCAAUCAGAAGGCCACUAAGUGAAAAAAGGCAAGAAGGAGGGAACAGCCCUCCGUGCCAUGUGAGUAACGGGCUUUUUCAAAUCAGCCUCCGAAGUACCACUUCCCUGAAUCUGCC